AUAUAUAUUUUUUUAUCGAUUGCCUCCAAUUUUUGUAUGAAAAAAUGUUACUUAUGAUUUAGUGUUUUUAUGGCUGUUUUUUUGUCUUCGUGGGGGGCAUUUACGGAACUUCAAUUUGAUCAGGAUCUUAACUUUGUUGCCAAGAAGAUAAAAACUAAAAAACUAUAAAAAGGCUGGUUAAUAUGAAGGCAAAAGACUGUAUUGAAUUUUCCAAGCGUAGGCAGAUUGUCUCAAAUGAAAGUAGCUCGUGUUCGUGUUCUUUCUCCAGGCUCCAGAGGUGAGCCGUCAGCUCGUGUUCGUGUUCUUCGCUACCUGCUACAUGCACUCUGAUCAGGUAAAUGCACAAGCCGGGCAAGUUUUGAUGGAUUCAUAUCCAAGGUUUGCGUUUCAUGUUUUGAAUUUUCACUUUACAUGGCACGUAAUCCGCACACACUCCACGAUCCAUUUACCUAAACGUGUCAAAUGGGUUGGCGGGUAGUGAUCAAGUUGUAAAUGUGUUAAUCGGGUUGGUGGGUUAUAAAAAUGGGUUAAACGGGUUGGCGUUAAAAAUACAAAAAAUUAUCUAAAUCAAAUAAUCUUCACAUAUAAGAAAUUAUUAUUUCUGAUUAUGAUAUUAUUUACUAAAUUUAACACUAUAUAAAUGUACUCAAAAUAAAUUAUUUUUAUGAUUCACAUUAAACUUAAAGUAUAAAUAAUAAGUAUACAAUAUAUUCAUAUUGCUAAAAUCUCUUUAAUUUCUAUUACUACCAUAGAUGGGAAGGUUGAGGUUUAUGGGGGACUCUUAAAAGUGGGGAACCAACUCAAACGAACUACGAUUAAACUUAUUUCAGAGGUGUUGGAACCAUCUUGUCGAACCCUAUGUAUAUUUAUUUAGGGUUUAGCUUUAAUUGGUUAAAGUUUAGCUUUUAAGGUUUAACUUUAGGAGUUAGCAUUAGAGUUUAGGGUUUAGCUUUAGCAUUUAGGAUUUAGCUUUGGGGUUUAGGAUUUUAGGGUUCGACGAGCCGGUUCCUACGCCACUUGAAUGAGUUCAAUUGAAGUUUUUUUUAGCCGGUUGCUCAAUUUUUUGGGGUUCCCCAAUCAAACCACCCUUAUAUAGUAAAAGUCUACUUAACCUUACUGUCACAGUAUCAUAAAGUAUUAUUAUUAUAUAAAAACAUCAUGUUUUUUUUUAAACUUCUAUUGUUAUGAUAUGGUAAAAUCUACUUGUAAGAAGAUGUAACCUCUCUUGUGAUCCUUUAGCAAUACAUGGGUUUCCCGUGACUAUGUUGAAAUAGAAUCUCUUGAUCUUUUUUCGUAAGAUAUUGUUUUAUGUGAAUCAUAUGUAUAAACAAGCAUAUUAUGUAUAAAAUAAACAUUUUUAUUUAGCU